rnacentral:rRNA from 1 species
CUGAGACCUGAUGCCGAGCCGAUUGUGGUGAAGUGGAUGAUCCUAUGCUGUCGAGAAAAGCCUCUAGCGAGUUUCAUGGCGGCCCGUACCCUAAACCGACUCAGGUGGUCAGGUAGAGAAUACCGAGGCGUUCGGGUGAACUAUGGUUAAGGAACUCGGCAAAAUGCCCCCGUAACUUCGGGAGAAGGGGGGCCAUUCCUGGUGAAGGCACUUGCUGUCUGAGCUGGGGGUGGCCGCAGAGACCAGCGAGAAGCGACUGUUUACUAAAAACACAGGUCCGUGCGAAGCCGUAAGGCGAUGUAUACGGACUGACGCCUGCCCGGUGCUGGAACGUUAAGGGGACCGGUUAGUGACCUUUCGGGGUUGCGAAGCUGAGAACUUAAGCGCCAGUAAACGGCGGUGGUAACUAUAACCAUCCUAAGGUAGCGAAAUUCCUUGUCGGGUAAGUUCCGACCUGCACGAAUGGCGUAACGACUUCUCGACUGUCUCAACCAUAGGCCCGGUGAAAUUGCACUACGAGUAAAGAUGCUCGUUUCGCGCAGCAGGACGGAAAGACCCCGGGACCUUUACUACAGUUUGAUAUUGGUGUUCGGUUCGGCUUGUGUAGGAUAGGUGGGAGACUGUGAACUCUGGACGCCAGUUCAGGGGGAGUCGCCGUUGAAAUACCACUCUGGUCGUGCUGGAUGUCUAACCUCGGUCCGUGAUCCGGAUCAGGGACAGUGUCUGAUGGGUAGUUUAACUGGGGCGGUUGCCUCCCAAAGGGUAACGGAGGCGCCCAAAGGUUCCCUCAGCCUGGUUGGCAAUCAGGUGUUGAGUGUAAGUGCACAAGGGAGCUUGACUGUGAGACCGACGGGUCGAGCAGGGACGAAAGUCGGGACUAGUGAUCCGGCGGUGGCUUGUGGAAGCGCCGUCGCUCAACGGAUAAAAGGUACCCCGGGGAUAACAGGCUGAUCUUCCCCAAGAGUCCAUAUCGACGGGAUGGUUUGGCACCUCGAUGUCGGCUCGUCGCAUCCUGGGGCUGGAGUCGGUCCCAAGGGUUGGGCUGUUCGCCCAUUAAAGCGGUACGCGAGCUGGGUUUAGAACGUCGUGAGACAGUUCGGUCCCUAUCCGCUGUGCGCGUAGGAAUAUUGAGAAGGGCUGUCCCUAGUACGAGAGGACCGGGACGGACGAACCUCUGGUGUGCCAGUUGUCCUGCCAAGGGCAUGGCUGGUUGGCUACGUUCGGGAGGGAUAACCGCUGAAAGCAUCUAAGCGGGAAGCCUGCUUCAAGAUGAGUAUUCCCACCUCCUUGAGAGGGUAAGGCUCCCAGUAGACGACUGGGUUGAUAGGCCAGAUGUGGAAGCCCGGUAACGGGUGGAGCUGACUGGUACUAAUAGGCCGAGGGCUUGUCCUCAGUUG